GAUAAACAAUAGUUCACACAGUUUCCUGUUAUUUCAGGGUUUUUUAAAUAGUGCAUGUAGUCUGGCUGGAAAGCUCCCCAACAGCAACAAAAGCUUGGUCUACAAAUAUAUUGUUCAACUGUCAUGUUUUUGUAGAAAAUAAUUUUCUUCAAAUGUUUAGUAGAAGGUCUCUGACAAAGUUUUAGUGAAAACAGUCUUUGUCUAAAAUCUUUAAAUGUACCACUAGGUGCACCUCAAAGUUUUAACCUUAGAUCACUUUAAUUGUUUACUGAUCUGGGUGUAGUGAUGGACUCAGACCUGAACCUCCAGAACCACAUAAAGACAACCACUAAGUCAGCCUUUUCCAGUCAAACAUUUCCAGGAUUGAAGGACUAAUGUCCCACCAGGAUCUGGAGAAACUCAUUCAUGUGUUUAUCAUUAGUUGUCUCUGCCAGUGGGAUCUGAUCACUCCGUGACAGUGCCCUGGAUUCCAAGCUAUUGUUCUCUGUAACCAUGCUCCAGAGAGUUCUGGAAAAUACUCCCUGCCGCUCCAUUCGUGAGCCUCCCUUCCUUUCCUACCUCCAGCCCUGCAGCUCUGAGAUCACAAUGUGGAAACACCAAACCAUGCUCACCUGCCUGUCCACCCUCCAUCACGGCAUCCUCAGCUGAAGCACUGCCGCUUCAGGAUCACAAGGAGAGAACGUCAGCACUGUGAAUCUCCGUGCUGCUCCUUCUGCCAACCUCAGCCUCUGUGGGGUAGACUUACGUCCUCCAACAAGCCAUCAUCCACCACUAACAGAUGAAAGAUUCACAUCCAGUGUUUCAGGCAACUGACUACAGCUCCCAUGAUGCUCUUCUGCAGCUGCUCCACACAUCUGAGGCUUCAAUCUAUUUUUACUCCUCAUGAGGCUGUUUGAAUCAGUUGGCUCUGUUUGUUUGUCUGUUUUUGUCUUUGUGUGUGUAUGUGUGUGUGUGUGUGUGUGUGUGUGUGUGUGAGAGAGAGGCUGGAGGGAGGUGAGUGAGGGUGAAGAGCUGUUGCCAUGGCAACAACAUCCCCACUGAAAGAGCGGGCGGCAGCACAGCAGCAGGAGCGUCUGUCAGAGCAGAACAUCAUGUCUCAGACCGUCGUUACACAGUAGUCAUGCUGAAGGUUCAGGCUGAAGGUUCUUAGUGAAGCUUCAUGCUGAGCAUCCCUGCGUGUUCAUUCUGUUUGGUGGAUGGUGUUUUAGCUGCAGUUCUGUACAUUAUACUGUGAACCCAGCAGAACAUUAAACAGAACCAACAUUCAUCUCUGAUCAUGGUUCUAGGUGAGCUCUUAAGGCUGCUAAACUACCUUGGAGCACUGAUUCCUGGUUGGGAGGAACUUUAUGUGUUUCUUUCUGUUGGAAUCUGGCAGAAAUCAGACUCGUCUCCCAGAAGGAAAGUUUGGAUCUGAAUGUUUGGUCCUUAUUCAGACUAGUGAUGUGAAUGGAAAUCAUUGAUGAGGACAGUGAGUGAAGGUCAACAGACCCAGAAGAUGCUUCUUUCAACAACUGAUGGAGGCUGAUGGUGUUCAUAUGCAGGGUCACGUGGAGCCGUUAGGGUCGUAGAAUCUUUCAGGUUGAUCUUUAGCUCCACGGCUCUAAACCCAGCUGCAGAACUCUGAGAUAUGCAGACCAGAUUGGCUCUUCACCAAACUGGAGUUAAACCUGAAACUCUGACCCAAACUGAACUCUACUGGUCUAAUUCAGCUGCAGCUCUGUGAGGAUCUGCUCUUAAUGAAGCUCCACCCCACCCAGAUCCUCCUUAUUUUCCAUUUUUAACCUGAAGCUCCUAGCUCAUCCAGUUGAAAGUACACCCUGAUCCACCCUGAAGAUCUUCCUAUUCAACGUGAACUGAUCCAUUCUGAAACUCCUCCCAUCCAACACACAGCUCCUUCCCUG